UCAAGCAACUCUCUCUCUCCUUCAUCCUCACCAAUCGGCCACCCCUCUCUCUCCUUUCUCUCUCAUAUUUCCUCCAUUGUCAACCAUUGGAGAGACCUCCGAAGCUUCACCAAAAUAUGCCAAACACAUAAAUCACCAACAAAAUUCCACCUAAACACCUCCUAUCAACUUGAAUCCAAGGAAAUCCUUGAAGAUUGGCUUCAAGACUAGUGAGAGAAAGUUUGAUUGUUGGUGAAAAACUUGAGUAAGUGAUCUCUAUAUUCAUAGAUUAAACUUGUAUGAUGAUAUAUAUGAGUAUAUUUGAAGGAUUGAAGCAAGAAAUCACCCCCUCUUUUAUUCUUCAAGAUUUUCGAAAAUUUGGGUGUUCUACCCUUCAAAAAAAUUUUCUUCUUCUUUCCUUGAAUUGAGGUGAGAAAAAUGAUCUAUGUGAUGUUUGGUAAUGAUUUGUGUGUGUUUUGAAAAGCUAUGCUUUGUGAUGUAAAAAUUUGGUUGAGUUAGUUUACCCCAAUUUGGGAACUUUUGAGUUGAUGGUUUAAAUGAUGAAUUGAUGAUGUAUAUGAGUCCAUGAGAUGUAUAUGAUGAUGAUUGAUGGAGUAAAUUGAGCAUAUGAAGUCAAUUGAUGAUUUUGAUAUGAGUUAGUUUACUAAAAUUAGGGCUAUGUGUAUCUAUGCUCUAAUUUGUAAAUUGAUGGAAUAUAUGUGAGUCUAAAUGACUAAAAUUGAUAGAUAUAUGAUGAGAUUAAAGAUCCAUGUGAGUUCAUAAAAUGUCAAAGAGUUUAGUUUGGUAAAAAUUGGGAUUUUCUUGUCUAUGUGUUUAAUAAAUGAUUUGGCUUAAGAUAUGUGUAAUUGAGCAUGAUGUUGGUGUUUUAAUAUGUUUGAUUAAGUCUAUUGGAAACUAAGUAAAAUUUUGACUUGAGUUAGUUUAUGAGAGUUUUUGAGUUUUCAUAUCUUGAGAAGUCGAUGAUUGAUAACAUGAGGUCUAAUUUGCUUUAUGACCAUUAUGUGAAGUUGUCAUGUUUUUGUUGAGAGUUUAUGUGGAUAUAUGAGUUUUUAUUAGAGUUUAGUUGGCAUGAUUAUAGGGGAUUUAUUUGUGUAAAAUGAGUUACAUGAUGUAUGAAGUCAUUAAUGAAUGAUUGAAUGAUAUUGAGCAUGAAAUUGAAAAGAGGAUUGAAUUGAUACGUUUGUAGAAACGUUUUCCUUGAGAUUUGAGUUUAUGAUGUAAGAGGAGAUUUGAGAUUGAGUAUGAUGAGUAUUUUAAAUGUUUUUGAAUGUUUUUGAGUGUUAUAUGUGUUUAAAAUGAACUUUGAUUGGUUUUCUUUGAAGAAAUGUUGAAUUGAGCAUUUAAGAGUUUGAGAUGAGUUUUUGGUGAUUUUUCGUAGGCUACUGACCUACUGUGAUCGACGGGUUGUCGAUGUCUAAUGGCUUUGAAAAUUUUACAGCAUGUCCCUACAUGAGUCUUGAGCAUACCUGUAAAAUUUCAAGUCAUUUGGACUUGAUUUACUAUUUUUAUAAAAUGCAAAACCAAAUCUGCACAUUUCUACCGGGAAUUUCAGAGAACAGGGGACAAAGUCAUUCAUUUCAGUAGCUUCCUGUGUGAUCUAGCUUUCCAAAUUUUUAUGGUAUCAACCUUACUGUAUGGGCUAGAUAUCCACCAAAUUUGAGCUCAGUUUGACAACGUUUACUAUUUUUCAAAAAUCAAUGUUUCCGAUUGCUCAAAACUGCCGAAUAUGGUAGACCGUGGUAAAAACGCCAUAUCUCCCAAACCACUUGGAGUUUCUGACUCUACUUUUUUUUAAAUGAAACUAGACUCAAAUACCUUCUUUUGGUAUGAGUCUGGAGUCCAGGAGAUGUCGGAGUCAGAACGUGUUAAAUUUUGAAGUUGAGUCAGUGGGAAAACAGAACAUGAUUUGUUGAUGUUUGAUUGUAUUUUCUUAUGUGCCUUAUGUGUUUGUGUUGCCUAAGUGUUUUAAUGAGAUUAGACGAGUCUUAUAUGAGAGAUAAAUCGAGACUUAGAACCAUGAUUUUCUUGAAACCUAUCCUUGGACUUAAGGUUUUGAAAUGAGUGAAGAAGUUUAUGUAGAGUCGAUUAAGAGAUAGAAUAUAAGAUAGAGCAUGAGUUAAGGCAUGAGUUUUUGUCGUUGAGUUCUAAUCGAGAUUCAUUUUAUGACAUGAACCUUCGAUGAUGACGAUGAUCCCUGAAGACACGAGCAGAGCAGGGA
rnacentral:lncRNA from 1 species